AUUGAACGCUGGCGGCAUGCCUUACACAUGCAAGUCGAACGGUAACGGGCCUUCGGGUGCCGACGAGUGGCGAACGGGUGAGUAAUACAUCGGAACGUGCCCGAUCGUGGGGGAUAACGAGGCGAAAGCUUUGCUAAUACCGCAUACGAUCUACGGAUGAAAGCAGGGGACCUCAAGGCCUUGCGCGGACGGAGCGGCCGAUGGCAGAUUAGGUAGUUGGUGGGAUAAAAGCUUACCAAGCCGACGAUCUGUAGCUGGUCUGAGAGGAUGAUCAGCCACACUGGGACUGAGACACGGCCCAGACUCCUACGGGAGGCAGCAGUGGGGAAUUUUGGACAAUGGGCGCAAGCCUGAUCCAGCCAUGCCGCGUGCAGGAUGAAGGCCUUCGGGUUGUAAACUGCUUUUGUACGGAACGAAAAGCCUUCUUUUAAUACAGGAGGGUCAUGACGGUACCGUAAGAAUAAGCACCGGCUAACUACGUG
rnacentral:rRNA from 1 species